AAUUUGUGGUGUGGGCAUUUUUUAAUAAAUAUUUGAGUCGUUCACAUACCUUAUAGAAACGUUCUCCCACCACCUAUCUAAAAACAACAAUCUCCCUUCUUAGUU
rnacentral:snoRNA from 1 species